CAGUCGCCGCGGUAAUACGAAGGGGGCUAGCGUUGUUCGGAAUCACUGGGCGUAAAGCGCACGUAGGCGGAUUUUUAAGUCAGGGGUGAAAUCCCGAGGCUCAACCUCGGAACUGCCUUUGAUACUGUUUGUCUUGAGUUCGAGAGAGGUAAGUGGAACUGCGAGUGUAGAGGUGAAAUUCGUAGAUAUUCGCAAGAACACCAGUGGCGAAGGCGGCUUACUGGCUCGAAACUGACGCUGAGGCGCGAAAGCGUGGGGAGCAAACAGGAUUAGAUACCCCUGUAGUCCCUGUCUCUUAUAU
rnacentral:rRNA from 1 species